rnacentral:rRNA from 1 species
AUGGGCCAGCAGGCGCGGAGGAACUCGGUGGUAAAGCCGUCCGGCCCCGGGGCCUUGCGCGCCGGUAGCCGCUUGAUGGCAUUCCAAGAUUUCAUCGUCGGUGAAGGGCGCGUCAAGCUCGAGGAGGUCGUCAGUGGGCUCGAUGAGCUGCGCGAGGUUGAGCGUGCACUCGCGAUGGGUAGCGGUGCCCAGGAGGUCGUCGAAGUGCGCGAAAGUGGCUGCGGUCAUGUCGUCGUGGCCGGUAAGGGCCUGUCCAUCAACGACCAGGCUAUGGAUCAUGUUCUUCUGGCGGCGGUAAGAGCACUGGCGGUGGAAGAAGGAAGUGUUUGCAUCCCCGUCCUGGAGGGAGGCGAUGCGCGCUCGUUGACGUGCGAUGGUGCGCUCAAGCGAUGCCAGUCCCAUGUAGGAGGUUUUGAUUUGAUGGCGAAGCCAAUCCUCAUGCCCGGAGAGAUGCUGACUCUCAUGCGCGGUGUCGAAGCAGAGCAGCAGCUCGCGGGAAAGGGCCAUCUUGUGGCGCACGUUGCCAACAGUGCGAGCAUUCCAGCCAGUCAGCUUACGUGCAGUGGCUUGCAGGCGUAG